GGGUUGUGAGGUUAAGCGACUAAGCGUACACGGUGGAUGCCCUGGCAGUCAGAGGCGAUGAAGGACGUGCUAAUCUGCGAUAAGCGUCGGUAAGGUGAUAUGAACCGUUAUAACCGGCGAUUUCCGAAUGGGGAAACCCAGUGUGUUUCGACACACUAUCAUUAACUGAAUCCAUAGGUUAAUGAGGCGAACCGGGGGAACUGAAACAUCUAAGUACCCCGAGGAAAAGAAAUCAACCGAGAUUCCCCCAGUAGCGGCGAGCGAACGGGGAGCAGCCCAGAGCCUGAAUCAGUGUGUGUGUUAGUGGAAGCGUCUGGAAAGGCGCGCGAUACAGGGUGACAGCCCCGUACACAAAAAUGCACAUGCUGUGAGCUCGAUGAGUAGGGCGGGACACGUGGUAUCCUGUCUGAAUAUGGGGGGACCAUCCUCCAAGGCUAAAUACUCCUGACUGACCGAUAGUGAACCAGUACCGUGAGGGAAAGGCGAAAAGAACCCCGGCGAGGGGAGUGAAAAAGAACCUGAAACCGUGUACGUACAAGCAGUGGGAGCCUCUUUUAUGGGGUGACUGCGUACCUUUUGUAUAAUGGGUCAGCGACUUAUAUUCUGUAGCAAGGUUAACCGAAUAGGGGAGCCGAAGGGAAACCGAGUCUUAACUGGGCGUUAAGUUGCAGGGUAUAGACCCGAAACCCGGUGAUCUAGCCAUGGGCAGGUUGAAGGUUGGGUAACACUAACUGGAGGACCGAACCGACUAAUGUUGAAAAAUUAGCGGAUGACUUGUGGCUGGGGGUGAAAGGCCAAUCAAACCGGGAGAUAGCUGGUUCUCCCCGAAAGCUAUUUAGGUAGCGCCUCGUGAAUUCAUCUCCGGGGGUAGAGCACUGUUUCGGCAAGGGGGUCAUCCCGACUUACCAACCCGAUGCAAACUGCGAAUACCGGAGAAUGUUAUCACGGGAGACACACGGCGGGUGCUAACGUCCGUCGUGAAGAGGGAAACAACCCAGACCGCCAGCUAAGGUCCCAAAGUCAUGGUUAAGUGGGAAACGAUGUGGGAAGGCCCAGACAGCCAGGAUGUUGGCUUAGAAGCAGCCAUCAUUUAAAGAAAGCGUAAUAGCUCACUGGUCGAGUCGGCCUGCGCGGAAGAUGUAACGGGGCUAAACCAUGCACCGAAGCUGCGGCAGCGACACUGUGUGUUGUUGGGUAGGGGAGCGUUCUGUAAGCCUGCGAAGGUGUGCUGUGAGGCAUGCUGGAGGUAUCAGAAGUGCGAAUGCUGACAUAAGUAACGAUAAAGCGGGUGAAAAGCCCGCUCGCCGGAAGACCAAGGGUUCCUGUCCAACGUUAAUCGGGGCAGGGUGAGUCGACCCCUAAGGCGAGGCCGAAAGGCGUAGUCGAUGGGAAACAGGUUAAUAUUCCUGUACUUGGUGUUACUGCGAAGGGGGGACGGAGAAGGCUAUGUUGGCCGGGCGACGGUUGUCCCGGUUUAAGCGUGUAGGCUGGUUUUCCAGGCAAAUCCGGAAAAUCAAGGCUGAGGCGUGAUGACGAGGCACUACGGUGCUGAAGCAACAAAUGCCCUGCUUCCAGGAAAAGCCUCUAAGCAUCAGGUAACAUCAAAUCGUACCCCAAACCGACACAGGUGGUCAGGUAGAGAAUACCAAGGCGCUUGAGAGAACUCGGGUGAAGGAACUAGGCAAAAUGGUGCCGUAACUUCGGGAGAAGGCACGCUGAUACGUAGGUGAAGUCCCUCGCGGAUGGAGCUGAAAUCAGUCGAAGAUACCAGCUGGCUGCAACUGUUUAUUAAAAACACAGCACUGUGCAAACACGAAAGUGGACGUAUACGGUGUGACGCCUGCCCGGUGCCGGAAGGUUAAUUGAUGGGGUCAGCGCAAGCGAAGCUCUUGAUCGAAGCCCCGGUAAACGGCGGCCGUAACUAUAACGGUCCUAAGGUAGCGAAAUUCCUUGUCGGGUAAGUUCCGACCUGCACGAAUGGCGUAAUGAUGGCCAGGCUGUCUCCACCCGAGACUCAGUGAAAUUGAACUCGCUGUGAAGAUGCAGUGUACCCGCGGCAAGACGGAAAGACCCCGUGAACCUUUACUAUAGCUUGACACUGAACAUUGAGCCUUGAUGUGUAGGAUAGGUGGGAGGCUUUGAAGUGUGGACGCCAGUCUGCAUGGAGCCGACCUUGAAAUACCACCCUUUAAUGUUUGAUGUUCUAACGUGGACCCGUGAUCCGGGUUGCGGACAGUGUCUGGUGGGUAGUUUGACUGGGGCGGUCUCCUCCUAAAGAGUAACGGAGGAGCACGAAGGUUGGCUAAUCCUGGUCGGACAUCAGGAGGUUAGUGCAAUGGCAUAAGCCAGCUUGACUGCGAGCGUGACGGCGCGAGCAGGUGCGAAAGCAGGUCAUAGUGAUCCGGUGGUUCUGAAUGGAAGGGCCAUCGCUCAACGGAUAAAAGGUACUCCGGGGAUAACAGGCUGAUACCGCCCAAGAGUUCAUAUCGACGGCGGUGUUUGGCACCUCGAUGUCGGCUCAUCACAUCCUGGGGCUGAAGUAGGUCCCAAGGGUAUGGCUGUUCGCCAUUUAAAGUGGUACGCGAGCUGGGUUUAGAACGUCGUGAGACAGUUCGGUCCCUAUCUGCCGUGGGCGCUGGAGAACUGAGGGGGGCUGCUCCUAGUACGAGAGGACCGGAGUGGACGCAUCACUGGUGUUCGGGUUGUCAUGCCAAUGGCACUGCCCGGUAGCUAAAUGCGGAAGAGAUAAGUGCUGAAAGCAUCUAAGUACGAAACUUGCCCCGAGAUGAGUUCUCCCUGACCCUUUAAGGGUCCUGAAGGAACGUUGAAGACGACGACGUUGAUAGGCCGGGUGUGUAAGCGCAGCGAUGCGUUGAGCUAACCGGUACUAAUGAACCGUGAGGCUUAACCUUACAACGCCGAAGCUGUU
rnacentral:rRNA from 1 species